rnacentral:rRNA from 1 species
GACGAACGCUGGCGGCGUGCUUAACACAUGCAAGUCGAACGGGUCUGCCCUGUUUUUUGCGGGGUGGGUCAGUGGCGAACGGGUGAGUAACACGUGAGUAACCUGCCCCUCACUUCUGGAUAACCGCUUGAAAGGGUGGCUAAUACGGGGUGUUCUGGCUGUGCCGCAUGGUGUGGCUGGGAAAGAUUCACUUUUGUGGUGUUUUGGUGGGUGAUGGGCUCGCGGCCUAUCAGCUUGUUGGGGGGGUGAUGGCCUGCCAAGGCUUUGACGGGUAGCCGGCCUGGGAGGGUGGGCGGUCAGACGGGGACGGAGAUACGGCCCAGACUCCUGCGGGGGGCAGCAGUGGGGGGUAUUGCACAAUGGGCGGAAGCCUGAUGCAGCGACGUCGCGUGAGGGAUGGAGGCCUUCGGGUUGUGAACCUCUUUCGCCGGUGAAGAAGGUCCUGCUCUUUGUGGUGGGGUUGACGGUAGCCGGGUUAUGAAGCGCCGGCUAACUACGUG